rnacentral:tRNA from 1 species
AGACAAGUAGUUUACUAUAAAGAACUUUAGCUUUGGGAGUUAAAAGAGACCUUAUUGGUCCUCGUCUA